GAUUCAGGCAUUAAGGCGGUGGCUGGUGUUUGUAGACGUCUCCAGCACCUGGAUCUGAGCUCCACCGCCACGGGGACCAGGGGGUAGGUUAAAGGUUAAAGUGGGGUCAGGCUUUCCAACCCUGUGAUUGGAAGGUUGGGAGUUCAAUCACAUGUCCUAACAAAGCAUUUAGAAACAGACUGUGUGUGUCUGCGACUGUGUGUGAGUAAUGUGAGUGUGUGUGUGUGUUUCUGACAGAGUGAACCUGUUGGCAAACUACUGCAGCACUCACCUCCUCACUGUGAAACUGAGCUCCUGCCAGGUCAACAGAGAGGCCAUCCAUAAACUCUGUAGGCACUGCAAAAGGUUGAAGCUACUACACCUGUAUGACUGCGCCUACAUCCCCACUCAACAAGAGAUCCGAGACAUCAAUCCCACCGUAAAACUGUACCCGCAGACUUGACAGGCACACAGUAAUAAUACCUCUGGGGAACACGGGCAAACCCGCGGAGGUGGAGGUUGACUUCAGCGAUCGUCAGUGACGGCAGUGAGUUCGCUGAUCUCCCAGUCCGUCCUGAUCCGGUCUCCACACACCUGUGUCAGGGUGCCCUCCUCCGCUCCCCCUGUGGAGGAGGUGUGUACCCGCCCCUGCUGCAGGGGUAAACACCGUGCCGGAGGGGUCGUCUGCUGCCACCCGCCCUCCAUCAUUGGACCUGAAUAGUAUCCCUGCACUGUGGCCCCUCUGUAACCCUCUGACCCAUAGAUAGCAGGACUACAUCGGGCACAUUGAGCUACCGGCACACGGUUAACACCUGCACGACACUGCCCCCAAAACUCUGCUGACCUUGUAUUCUGGAACUGUGAAUAGGAACAUCAACUAAAAUAAAUGUAUGAAUAAAUAAAUGUAAAUGAAUGGAUAUGAUGGAGUCACUGCUCUGAUCCCACACAUGCCUAUAUGCAGCACACACUAGGGUAACAUUUGGAUCAGAUAUAAAUUCAAAUCAAAUGAGGGAUCAUUGGGAAUACUAUCUGUGUGACAGUGGUGUGGGCAUGGGUUUGCACGUCUCUGCAUGAAUGUAUGUGGGUUUGCAUGUGAGUGCAAAGUAGGUGGGGUCCUCAGCAGAAGACGGUGUUUCUAGGGUCCUCCUUGCGAAAUCUGCUUCACAUGGUGACUUGGUGGCAGCUGGUCGGAGUUAAGAAACCAUAGACCACUGAAAUUAAGAUGUUUUCAAAACUAGUUAAUUUGACACAUUUCUUGUUGAUUGUUCUUUUACAUACUGA
rnacentral:lncRNA from 1 species